GCUAACCUUUAUAUUGACAUUGCGAUAACUUUGGAUCUCAUUUCUUCUAUGAAUGAAAAUUAUGGGCAUGACUUGUAUCCUUGGCAGCUAUCGGAGAAGAUGGCUUGUGGGGGCUUGUUACUUGAGGGUGACAAUUAUGAGUUCUGGGUGGCACUAGGGUGUUUAUCUGGACAUAAUGCAAUGAGACAACAUGCCUUGAUCAGGGGAUUGCAAUUGGAUGUAUCAUCAGCUUUUGCUUGGUCAUAUCUUGGGAAGGUACUGCCUCUAUGUCUUUUGAAUUCUA
rnacentral:misc_RNA from 1 species